CUGGAAGCUACGUCUCCGGUUCUUUGUGUCCUUGUCCAUCCAAACCUUCCAGUUCUAAUUACAGGAACAGCAGAUGGCAUCAUGCACGUCUGGAGCUCCACUAAUUUCAGGCUCAAGAGAACCAUUAACUUAGGCGGCGGUGGACGUGUUGUCGGUCUCGCAUGUUUGAUGGGUUCACGAAGGAUUGUGAUUGGGCAAGAACGCCAUAUUUACCAUGGAUAUCCAUGACGAGGAAGUGAUUGUGCUCCAAGCGAUGUAGACACCGGCGAGUCACGCUGUCGCUGGCGGCUACUAGUGGUCUGAGCUUGAGGAUCCAACCAAUGCGCCCGCCAUCGUUGGGAACUUUCGACUUGAUGUGAAGAUGGAAUUC